ensembl:lncRNA
UGAACAUUGCUGUACUGGGUUUAGUCUGGGGCUGUCAGAGAGGAAAAGGACUUACUAAUGAACAGUGGAAGGAGAAGCAAACACAAGAAUGUUGAACGUUCUCUCUUUGGACAAGCUUAUGACUUGCCUUCAAUUUAGUCUCAAGCAUUGAAGCCUUGAUUAGGUUUUGCAAGUUCUUGUGGUGCUGCCUCUGUUUACUCCCACCAGUUUCUCAGGCACAAUGACGAAGCACAAAAGCCCAAGCAGGGCACAACUGAUAGAAGCUGCUGCUGGUUUUAUUGCAUUUGAUAUUCAAAGUAACGG